rnacentral:rRNA from 1 species
GAUCAAGUGUCUUAAGGGCAUUUGGUGGAUGCC